GAUGAACGCUGGCGGCGUGCCUAAUACAUGCAAGUCGAGCGAACGGACGAGAAGCUUGCUUCUCUGAUGUUAGCGGCGGACGGGUGAGUAACACGUGGAUAACCUACCUAUAAGACUGGGAUAACUUCGGGAAACCGGAGCUAAUACCGGAUAAUAUUUUGAACCGCAUGGUUCAAAAGUGAAAGACGGUCUUGCUGUCACUUAUAGAUGGAUCCGCGCUGCAUUAGCUAGUUGGUAAGGUAACGGCUUACCAAGGCAACGAUGCAUAGCCGACCUGAGAGGGUGAGCGGCAGCACUAGAACUGCGCCACGGGCCAGACGACUACGGGAGGCAGCAGUAGGGAAUCUUGCGGAAUGGGCGAAAGCCUGACAGAGCAACUCCGCGGGAGUAAUGAAGGUUUUCGGAUCGUAAAACUCUGUUAUUAGAGAAGAACAUAUGUGUAAGUAAAUGUGCACAUCUGGACGGUACCUAAUCAGAAAGCAACGGCUAACUACGUG
rnacentral:rRNA from 1 species